rnacentral:lncRNA from 1 species
GGGGGUGGUGCCUUCCUUCCCGCUCGGCCCUUCCUGACGCACCCGCGGGCAGGAUGCGUCCGCCUCCCAAGACCGGCCUGGAAUCGCGGAGGGAAUCCCAGCGGUGGGAAAGCCGGCUGGGGUCGGAGCACCCCUCCCCAGUAUCCACUCCUUGUGAGACCCGGGUGUCCUCUGCACAGAGGACCACCUCUCCAGCCAGUAUGGGAGCUCCCAACCGGAUCCUCGAGUCUAGCCCAGGCAGCGGGCUAGGCUGCCACCUGGUGGCCUCUGGGGGAAUGGCUCCGGGCCUGGAAACUGGGCUGUGGAGCAGAGACCUCCCAGACGACUCUGAGUUCGUCCCCCAAGCCAGGCCCAGUCAGUCUCGGAGACCCUUCUUGUCAGGUGGUGUGUCACUCUCGGCUUGCAGGCCAUUUGGGGUAGAAGUGAAUAAGACAUGGCUCCUCACUGGUUCUUGGUUUCUCUACCUAUAGGCUAGGGGCCUCUGCCCUUGGACAUUCCUGUAGAAAGAGACUACUAUUUGGUUCAUAAACAUCAUAGGUACUGUAGGAACUAAAUGAGUUAAUGAGCAAAAGGGUUUAACACAGCGCCUGGCACAGAGUAACUGCUCAACAAACAGCUCUUGUGAUUAAUUCAAAGGUGGCUUCUCUGUGGCUGGUGCCCUGGGGAGGGGAGAAAGCGGGGGAGCAGAGCAGUGGAGGAUGGAGGGGACAGUGACAACAAUGACAGCUACUACUACCUGGGCCAGGCACAACUGUGAGCACUUUCCUUACGCUAACUCAUUUCGUCCUCAAAAAACUCCAAGCUAGCUACGAUUAACUAAUCUCACUUUUUUUUUUUCUUAAUUAACUACCACAGGAAAUCAAGCAGGACUUCUGCAACCUGCCCAUAGUCCUGCUCUGAACAGAUGGGGGAGUCUGGACUUCCUCCCCCCGAGUCCCCUGGCCUUCAUUUCACCCAGCCUCUCCCACUGCAGGGUUCAGAGCCUGGGCUUGGUUUCCACAUGUCACAAUCUGGGAUCCUUGCUCUAGCACAUGCUUGCCACGUGGCACCUGACUUCCAAUUCCCUUACCUGCUCGUGAAGGACCCCUCGGAAGAACUGAAUGGAGACUGGUGUAUGGGAAGGGCCCUGCUUUCCAGUACUCAGCAAGCCCAUCUGCUGGCGGUCUCCUCCUUGUCGCCCCUCCUCAGGUCUCAAUAAAAACUCUCAGCCCUCAUCCACCCCGCUUCACUCUGCGGCGGCUCAGUACCAUCUUGUGAGAGGAGGAAGCAGAGGCUGGAUGCUUGGGGAGCAGGGAGGGCCCGACAGCUUCUCCCUCAUCCGGUAGGGGGGCACCGGGCUGAAACACUCAACACCCACCCGACACUGUUCCACUGGCCCCACUCCUGAGGCUCAUAAGCUGCAGCCUCUCUUUCCCAGGCUCCCUGCAGUAGGGGCCAUGUGACCCUGAUCUGGCCCAUGAGAUUCGAGCAAAAAUCGACAAGUGUUCCGGGAGAGGUUCGCCUUCCUGAUGAAGGCCACAGCGUGGCUGGUAUCCGUGCUCCUCUCCCUUGCCACUCAUGUGCCUGUGCUCCCUGGAGAAGCAGCAGAAUCCUGCCAUGGGGGAAAGGCCAAGGUCACAGACGUGCGCACUCUGACAUCGUUGGGAGCACCUACCUCUGGGUUGCUUGUGUAUGCGGACAGACAAGCCCCAGGUAUGUAAGUCCCUACUACCUGCAGUGAGAACAUUUCCGAGGCACCGAGCACAGUCCCUACUCACCUGAGCGUGCUUGAAGAUGGCAUGAUGGACGAUGGUAAGGCCCAGGCCGAAGAUGUAAGCCGCGAAGCUGGUGUAGAAGUACGUGUGGGUGUUCUUCUUUAAGCUUCAAGAAGGUGUGGGGAGAAAGAGGAGGAGGGUUAGUUAAGCAUGGAAGGAGCAGCGCCACCUUUCUGCGGGGAGAGGCCUCCAUGGAGGCUGGCUGGACGGCAUGAGAGUUUGGCACUGCUGUGUAUUCAGUGCUGCCCCAGCCGGUAUGUCUUUGGACAAGUCACUUUCCUUCUUUAGGCCUCAGUUUACUCAUCUGCAAAACGGGAAAAACCACGACCCAUCUGCUCAGUGGUUGCGAAUAUCAAGCGCCAUGACCUGCAACAGUGGCUUUAAGACUUCAGCCAACAUACAAGUUCCCUAGAAAGCUUGUAAAAAAUCCCUCAAAACCAAAAAACAGCAGACUUUCAGGUCCAAAUCCCAGGGGCAAUCUGAUUAAAUAGGUCUAGGGCAAGGGACCAGGAAUCUGCAUUUUUAUUUAUUAAAAAAUUUUUUUUUUUAAUGUUUUAUUAUUUUGAGACAGAGACAGACCAUGAACCAGCA